rnacentral:lncRNA from 1 species
GAAAACGUGGAUAUGGCACGAGAAGCUAAGAUAAGUCAAAUUACCCUUUGACCUUUUUUCUUACUGUAAAUGCCACCCACUGAUCUAUUUUAAAUAAAGCAGGGAGCAUCUAACUGAUAUAAUAAUAUAGCACCAAUCAGAGCAGAUAACGCCAAUAUGCUUCCACAUCAACGAGACUAACAUUCUUUACUGUCACCUCUCUUGGAUAGGACUCUUACAACAAGAAUAGCAGAGUAAAAUGAAUAUAAAUUAAGAGAAAAGAAACAAAAGCAAUUGUUCAAGUGGAGGGAGCUGCAACUGUGCAUAGAAGAUACAUAGAAACAUAUUAUACACAAAACAAUCUGGACAAGCUACAAAGAAUGAUCCAACAUUUUAACAGGUCUAUCAAGGUGUGGAAAGGAGAAAAAAUCAAGGUAUCAUGCCGGACUCAAAGUCUGACUACCAAAUAUGUACUCAAUGCAUGUAUCGCCCAUAUUAUGGGUAUUCUGACAGUAUUCACGUGUCUCUUACAGGGGAAAGUGACAAGUACGUGAGGGCACAAUGAAGGGCAGAAAUACCAUUGCACAUAGGACUAAAGCCAACAGUGUCUCUCUCCUCAACGCGUGAUACCAUUUGCAUUAAGUUCCAAAUCAGAGCAUCGCACAAAGGAAUCAAUCAAAAUACUCUUAGCAGCAUACCUGUUAUAUCAAUCUUAUGUGAGAUUCCAGCAGCAGUCAAAGACUUUGAGAUUAACUUGGCAACUUCUUCAUAUUGUUGAUUCUGAACCAGUGGAAAAACAGUGCAUUUGAUGGGAGCCACUAGUGGUGGGAAGCGGAACACAUUUAGUUGCUCAUCUCCACCUUUACUCGGCCUUGUGUAGAAUGAAUGCUCAUAAAGACAAUAUAUUAUCCGGCCAAUUCCAAAUGAGGGCUCAAUCACUGAAGGUGUAAACACCCUUUGGUGCUCUUUCUUUUUCUCCUUGGAAAUAGAGACCAUGCUUUUCUUAAUGGUGACAUUCUUCCCGAGAGUACAUACAUGGAACCCCACCUCCCCCUUGGAUUCCAGAUCAGCCUUCAUCUCCAUAGCCACCUUUUCUUCCAUUGCACAUUUGAUGGGGGCCACUAGUGGUGGGAAGCGGAACACAUUUAGUUGCUCAUCUCCACCUUUACUCGGCCUUGUGUAGAAUGAAUGCUCAUAAAGACAAUAUAUUAUCCGGCCAAUUCCAAAUGAGGGCUCAAUCACUGAAGGUGUAAACACCCUUUGGUGCUCUUUCUUUUUCUCCUUGGAAAUAGAGACCAUGCUUUUCUUAAUGGUGACAUUCUUCCCGAGAGUACAUACAUGGAACCCCACCUCCCCCUUGGAUUCCAGAUCAGCCUUCAUCUCCAUAGCCACCUUUUCUUCCAUUGCCUGGUGUAAACAAAGGCAAGUGGGAAAAUUCAGCAUUGCUUUCUUUCUAUCAAAUGUAGCUUAUCAAAUACUGGAGGAAAAAAGAUCGAUAAAAUCGAUUAGCAGUCCAAAAAUUGAGCCAAAAUUAACUUUAUAGUCUUUAUUUCUGAUUUACUGCAUCA